UUCUCCGACGAUGAGUUCCUCCAUUCAUCUACCAGGCCACCCCAAAAGCUCUCUGGGCCUCAUCACCAGCCGACCUUCUACAACAACCGACUACCCCCGAACUUCUUCCGGGCUUCGUCAGCAUUCGAGCUUCCCCGACAAUAAGAUUUCUACAGUAACCAGACUCCUUCUAAGUUUCUUUGAUGGUUGACCGCCUUUCAGAUCCCGAUCAAGCUCCU
rnacentral:lncRNA from 1 species